AGUUCGAUCCUGGCUCAGAUUGAACGCUGGCGGGAUGCUUUACACAUGCAAGUCGAACGGCAGCACGGACUUCGGUCUGGUGGCGAGUGGCGAACGGGUGAGUAAUGUAUCGAACGCCUAGUAGCGGGGGAUAACUACGCGAAAGCGUAGCUAAUACCGCAUACGCCCUUCGGGGGAAAGCGGGGGAAUCUUCGGGCCUCGCACUAUUAGAGCGGGCCGGAUAUCGGAUUAGCUAGUUGGUGGGGUAACGGCUCACCAAGGCGACGAUCCGUAGCUGGUUUGAGAGGACGACCAGCCACACUGGGACUGAGACACGGCCCAGACUCCUACGGGAGGCAGCAGUGGGGAAUUUUGGACAAUGGGGGAAAUCCCUGAUCCAGCCAUCCCGCGUGUGCGAUGAAGGCCUUCGGGUUGUAAAGCACUUUUGGCAGGAAAGAAGAAACGGCACGGGAUAAUACCCCGUGCAACUGACGGUACCUGCAGAAUAAGCACCGGCUAACUACGUGCCAGCAGCCGCGGUAAUACGUAGGGUGCAAGCGUUAAUCGGAAUUACUGGGCGUAAGCGUGCGCAGGCGGUUCGGAAAGAAAGAUGUGAAAUCCCAGAGCUUAACUUUGGAACUGCAUUUUUAACUACCGAGCUAGAGUGUGUCAGAGGGAGGUGGAAUUCCACGUGUAGCAGUGAAAUGCGUAGAUAUGCGGAGGAACACCGAUGGCGAAGGCAGCCUCCUGGGAUAACACUGAGGCUCCAUGCACGAAAGCGUGGGGAGCAAACAGGAUUAGAUACCCUGGUAGUCCACGCCCUAAACGAUGUCAACUAGCUGUUGGGGCCUUUGGGCCUGGUAGCGCAGCUAACGCGUGAAGUUGACCGCCUGGGGAGUACGGUCUGCAAGAUUAAAACUCAAAGGAAUUGACGGGGGACUCGCACAAGCGGUGGAUGAUGUGGAUUAACUGAUGCAACGCGAAAAACCUUACCUACCCUUGACAUGUCUGGACGGAAGAGACUUGGGAGUGCUCGCAAGAGAACCGGAACACAGGUGCUGCAUGGCUGUUCGUCAGCUCGUGUCGUGAGAUGUUGGGUUAAGUCCCGCAACGAGCGCAACCCUUGUCAUUAGUUGCUACGAAAGGGCACUCUAAUGAGACUGCCGGUGACAAACCGAGGAAGGUGGGGAUGACGUCAAGUCCUCAUGGCCCUUAUGGGUAGGGCUUCACACGUCAUACAAUGGUCGGGACAGAGGGUCGCCAACCCGCGAGGGGGAGCCAAUCCCAGAAACCCGAUCGUAGUCCGGAUCGCAGUCUGCAACUCGACUGCGUGAAGUCGGAAUCGCUAGUAAUCGCGGAUCAGCAUGUCGCGGUGAAUACGUUCCUGGGCUCUAGACACACCGCCCGUCACACCAUGGGGAGUGGGUUUUACCAGAAGUAGUUAGCCUAACCGUAAGGAGGGCGAUUACCACGGUAGGAUUCAUGACUGGGGUGAAGUCGUAACAAGGUAA
rnacentral:rRNA from 1 species